AUUGAACGCUGGCGGCAGGCCUAACACAUGCAAGUGGAGCGAGCGACGGAAGGGUGAGUAAUGUCUGGGAAACUGCCUGAUGGAGGGGGAUAACUACUGGAAACGGUAGCUCAUACCGCAUACCAUCAGAUGUGCCCAGAUGGGAUUAGCUAGUAGGUUGGGUACCUGCUCACCUAGGCGACGAUCCCUAGCUGGUCUGAGAGGAUGACCAACCACACUGGAACUGAGACACGGUCCAGACUCCUACGGGAGGCAGCAGUGGGGAAUAUUGCACAAGGGGCGCAAUCCUGAUGCAGCCAUGCCGCGUGUGUGAAGAAGGCCUUCGGGUUGUAAAGCACUUUCAGCGGGGAGUCGUUACCCGCAGAAGAAGCACCGGCUAACUCCGUGCCAGCAGCCGCGGUAAUAC
rnacentral:rRNA from 1 species